rnacentral:rRNA from 1 species
GACGGAGGGGGCAAGCGUUGUUCGGAAUCACUGGGCGUAAAGCGCGCGUAGGCGGCGCAGUAAGGGGAUCGUGAAAGCCCUCGGCUUAGCUGGGGAAGGGCGGUGCCGACUGCUGGGCUGGAGUGUCGGAGGGGAUGGCGGAAUUCCUGGUGGAGCGGUGAAAUGCGUAGAGAUCAGGAAGAACGUCGGUGGCGAAGGCGGCCAUCUGGCCGAACACUGACGCUGAGGCGCGAGAGCGUGGGGAG